GGCAGUAUGGUGUGCUGGUCUGAGCACUGUCUGGACUACAGCUCUGGAGUCUAGGGUUCAAAUCCCUGCUUGGCCA